rnacentral:rRNA from 1 species
GAUACGGUUAACGGAGCGAAAGCGACGUUCAACCGCAAAAGAAGCAGAGGGGGCUUAGUGGUGGGGUGACUGCGUACCUUUUGUAUAAUGGGUCAGCGACUUAUAUUCUGUAGCAAGGUUAACCGAAUAGGGGAGCCGGAGGGAAACCGAGUCUUAAUUGGGCGUUAAGUUGCAGGGUAUAGACCCGAAACCCGGUGAUCUAGCCAUGGGCAGGUUGAAGGUUGGGUAACACUAACUGGAGGACCGAACCGACUAAUGUUGAAAAAUUAGCGGAUGACCUGUGGCUGGGGGUGAAAGGCCAAUCAAACCGGGAGAUAGCUGGUUCUCCCCGAAAGCUAUUUAGGUAGCGCCUCGUGAAUUCAUCUCCGGGGGUAGAGCACUGUUUCGGCUAGGGGGCCAUCCCGGCUUACCAACCCGAUGCAAACUGCGAAUACCGGAGAAUGUUAUCACGGGAGACACACGGCGGGUGCUAACGUCCGUCGUGAAGAGGGAAACAACCCAGACCGCCAGCUAAGGUCCCAAAGUCAUGGUUAAGUGGGAAACGAUGUGGGAAGGCCCAGACAGCCAGGAUGUUGGCUUAGAAGCAGCCAUCAUUUAAAGAAAGCGUAAUAGCUCACUGGUCGAGUCGGCCUGCGCGGAAGAUGUAACGGGGCUAAACCAUGCACCGAAGCUGCGGCAGCGACGUUUAUGCGUUGUUGGGUAGGGGAGCGUUCUGUAAGCCUGCGAAGGUGGCCUGUGAGGGUUGCUGGAGGUAUCAGAAGUGCGAAUGCUGACAUAAGUAACGAUAAAGCGGGUGAAAAGCCCGCUCGCCGG